UACGUAGGGGGCGAGCGUUGUCCGGAUUUAUUGGGCGUAAAGAGCGUGUAGGCGGCCAGGUAGGUCUGCUGUGAAAACUCGAGGCUCAACCUCGAGACGUCGGCGGAAACCAUCUGGCUAGAGUCCGGAAGAGGAGAGUGGAAUUCCUGGUGUAGCGGUGAAAUGCGCAGAUAUCAGGAAGAACACCAAUGGCGAAAGCAGCUCUCUGGGACGGUACUGACGCUGAGACGCGAAAGCGUGGGGAGCGAACCGG
rnacentral:rRNA from 1 species